UACGUAGGUGGCGAGCGUUAUCCGGAUUUAUUGGGCGUAAAGCGUGCGCAGGCGGUUUAUUAAGUCAGCGGUAAAAUGUCCGGGCUCAACCCGGGCCGGCCGUUGAAACUGGGGAUCUUGAGUGGGCGAGAGGUAUGCGGAAUGCGUGGUGUAGCGGUGAAAUGCAUAGAUAUCACGCAGAACCCCGAUUGCGAAGGCAGCAUACCGGCGCCCAACUGACGCUGAGGCACGAAAGCGUGGGUAUCGAACAGG
rnacentral:rRNA from 1 species